ensembl:lncRNA
AGAAAUCUCAUGCUUAGGAAAAGAAAAGGCAUGAAGUCUUGUGCCAGCCAGAGGAGGAACUUGUGUUCCUGAAAGGAAUUUCAUGAAGUUCUAACAACUUAUCAGAGCACCUCAAAGGAGAGACUGGAGCUGAGACCAAGACCCAUCCUGAAUUAUGCCCAGCACUAUCUGAUGGAAUGACCUCAGGAGGAAAGAGGAGUGACCAGUUGAGCAGGGAUGACCACAUACAAUUCAUGCUUCAAGGGAAUGGAUAUGGUAAAAAAAGAUGUAUUAUUUGAGAUCUUCAGGUAUCAAAAUAAUUCUUUUAGAUAUGAAAUUCACUUGUAUUUCCAUCUGUGCUGGAUAAUUUACAUCAACUUGGCACAAGCUAAAGUCAUCUGAGAGGAAGGAACCCCAAGAAAAUGCCUUCAUCGGGCCCUGGAUGUUGGUGGCUGCAAUGGUACAUGGUUUGACCUAAAUCUGUAAUAGCUUAGAUAAAGGUGGAAACAAGUUGUAUUAGUUUCUUUUCUUAUUUCUAUGGCCAAACACCUGACAAGGAGCAACUCAAGGGCGGAGGGGCUUAUCUUGACUACAGUUCAUCAUGAUGGGAAGCAUGGAGGCAGGAGCAUGAGGCACAUGAUCACACUGUGGAUGUAGUAAGCAAAUCAUGAGCAGACAGGGAACAGAGCUUUCUUUAGAACCUUGUAGUCUGUACCCAGUGACAACUUCCUCCAGUGAGACUCUACCUUCAAAAUGUGCCACAACAUUUCCAAAUGGUAUCAUCACCUGUGGAUAAGUGUUCAAGCAUGAGAGCCAUGGAAACACAUUUUACAUUCAAAUCUUGGAACGUAUUUGGUAACAUGGUAUCCUAUUUGUAGUAGCUUUAAAAAGUAUGGGUGAUUCUCACGCAUCAAAAGUCCAUUCUCAUCCAUCAAUAGGCAGGCAUUUAUGAAAUCUAUUCUUAGUGGUACUGUGGAAGAUUCCAGACUCUUCAUUUGUACUCCAUCCUUUUUAGUCUCCUGCUAAGGUUUUGCAUAUUUGGCCCCAUGAUUGUGAAAUUGUUGUUGUGCCUCCAUGCACCAUGUACGAAUCUCAUUUGAUGAUAUCUAGUAUGUGAUGUACUUUAUCCAAGCAGAACAACUCUCCUAGAAGCUCACUGAUCUCUGUUUUUGUCUCAUUGGCCAAAACACAUGACUUUUUCAACUGGAGAGAAGUAGGAAACUGAAAGAGUUGGUUUUCAGUGUUCACAACUGAGAAAGGAUUGCAUAGGUGACAUGAACUGAACCUUAGAGGACCUGCCAGGGGAGGCACUGUAAUCCUCAUAUAAAGUGAUAAAGCAGCUCAGAAAGACUGCCAAACACCAGAGGCAGAUUCCUGUUGACUCACUCUGACCAAAAAGCCAACAUAGGUGUCACUAUCUCAAAUUCUCAAAGUUCACUUCAAUUCAACCAUUGUUAAUCAUCAUCUGCUAUAACGAAGUCACUAUACUGUGGUCCCAGACUGAUUUUCAGAGGAAUGAAACAUCAUUCCCGCUCUAGAACAAUGGAUCACCCUGGUGGAGACUCCCAUACACAGAAGUCUCCAAUGUGAGGGUCUCCAUUUAAAACAUCUACACAUUAAAAAGAGAAGCAAGUUUGGUCCCUGAAUCUUCUAAACAUUGCCAUAUAGGAGGGCAUGAAUCACAGCUUGGGAAAAACUGCAUGAGGCUUCCUCCUUCAGGCUUGCCCAAAGGAGUUUCUGACCCUGCUGUCUCUUGGUGAAAAUUUCCACAUAGUCUUUAAAGACAACAAAAGCAUCAAUCAACAACUGUUCCUGUAUCCUGCCCACUAGCCAGGCUACACUCUGAUUCCAUGGCCUCCACAGACAGCAGAGACUGGGGGCUUAAGAUUCCUGGAGAUUCUUAUUGUUUGUGUUUAAUGAUUUCUAUAAAAAAAAAUCCAUGUAUUUUCACUUUUCUGCAAGUCUCCUCUGUCCCAAGGACAGCAGACAACCUCCAAGCUGCUGGUCACAUGUUGUCUUGUGCUUCCACCUCUGCUAGACACGGACUGCCUUUCUUAUUUGUUGACACAUUUUUCCCUAGGCAAUGGCUGCUGGCAGCAGCACCGGCUUCUCCUUCAGCCUUUAAUUCUAAGUUAGACUGUCACAUGCAUCCUGGCACAGGCAGGGCUGUAUGAACUCCCAGCUUGCUGAUCAAGUCUACUGGGCUUGUAGUGACAAUGGUGGUAGGGUUGGCUCUCACGAGCAGUGCUCAGAAUUUCUGUGGUGUAGUUGGCAUGGUGAGUUUUGUAAAGGAUGUCCAGGAAGCUUUUAGGACCUCCUCAUUUUGCUUUUCCUGUGUGGGAAUUGGCUACAAUACUGAAUGCUAUCAGUCAUGCCUUUGGUCCUGAAAUAUUUACCAGUACAGAACCUCUCAGUGGGGAGUUACUAUUACUUUCUCCAGAGCUGGAAAUGAUGAUGUGGUGCAAUUUUAUGCAGACAGUUGGAGAGAAAUCUGGAAAGUAGCACUUACCUCAUGAAUAAACAUUGAGCUAGGAAAGAGGAAGCCUUCCCUUUCCUCCUGGCUGGGUGACUGCAGGGAAGGGCCACGCUUUCUGGGUCUUUGUGUACUGUCUGACAAAGCUUCCUUAUAGGGCUGUCAAUCUAUACUUCUGGUGUGCAAAAGGGCUGAGGAGAAGGCUGUUGGUAAAGUGCUUGUCAUGCUAACAUGAGUACCUGAAUUCAGAUCCACAGGACCAUGUAAAAUGGCAAGGUUAGCAAUAGCACACAUCUGUGAUCCCAGCAUUUGGGAAGACAGAAAGAAAACAUUCUAUGGGAUUGCUGGUCAGUCAACAUAGCCUAUUCCAUGAAGUCUAGGUUUAGUGAGAGAUCCAGUCUCAAUGGAAUAAGAUGGAGGUCGAUAGAGAAAGAUACCACUUUCUGCUGUGGUAGUUGCUAUGAUGCAUUUGUAUCUAAAAUAAGCAGACCUGGGCAAUGUAUUUGGGCAUUUAAAAUAAUUAUUACAUUUGUAUUUAUUUUAUUUUGUCUGUGUACAUGUGUGUAUGGCAUUGGGAGUGGGAGCAUGUCACAUAAAGUACCACAGAGGACAGCUUGUGGGAUCCCUUUCUCUCCUUUUAUUGUGUGGGUCUCAGCUCUCUCAGGCCUAGUGCCAGGAACCUAGCUGAGCCAUCACACUGGCAUGGAUUUGGGGCUUUCCCCACCUCCAGGGCAACAUGACUCUGGCAAGGACAGAAGGAUCUGGGCGAUCAUGUGAGGUAGUUUGUUUGGCUGAUCCAAUUACAUUGACAUAGAAGCCCUCUGUUUUUAUUAAGUCAUAGCAACUUGUUUUUAAGCUUUGGAUCUGGUAUAUAGACUGAAGCAGAUAUGGAAAAGAUAAGAAGGAAAAAAUGUCUAGAAUUGUUUCCACCACCCCCAGAACAAUUGAGAGAGAUCAUUGUGUCACAGCAGGGCAAUACACCAGAAUACACUAAAUAUUUUGCUCAUUAUCCUUCCAAAAAACCUCAAAAUGAGUUGGAAAAUAGGGUGGUUUGGGCCAGCUGCUGUGCUCCAAUGAGAUGACAAAAAGGAAUUAUUUGAUCUUUAUGUCUGUCAUCCUUUACCAAGUUUGUGGACUCUGAUAUCACAAUAACCCCGAUCAGCUCCCAUAUUUAGGCAAGGAUUUUAAUCAUAGUCACUAUGUUUUAUUUAGUAGUAACUAUGUGGGACACAGUUUAUUUAUCUCGAAUCCUUGUCCCUAUGUUGUGGGGCAAAUGGCAUCAUUUCCAUCUUUUUGGUGGUACAGAGAUCCUAGCCCAGGGCCUUCCUUGUUCAGUUCAGGUUAGUUAAGUGUUCUGUCACAAGCUGUCCCCAAAGCCUUGCCAUUUCCACUGUACUGAGAAAAAGACAAGAGCAGGCUAGUUGGGCAGCGAAUGGAAAGCAAGAGGGUGGAUUCUGGUCUGACUCUAAAAAUCUAGCUUUUUGAGAAUGCUGUUUUCAUUGUGACUAAGGAAUUCUUUUUUGAGGGGGUAAAUCAAUGCUGUUGAAGUUUAAAAACCUGACUUUUAUUGACUUAAUUGCCAAACCAUAAUAGACUAUUAAGAGAAGCAUGGAAAAAUAUGUCACUGGGUUGGAAGUCUGAAGUUUAUUACAUUAGUUAUCAUUCAAAUAGGUUUUGGAAAUCACUUACCUAAUUAGCCAUUAUGAUCAUCAGUCAGUUGUUUCUAUGGAUACAACUUCAUCGUAUUACUCAUAAUAGACACUCACUUAUGUGGUUAUUUGUGGAAUCUUAGACAUCAGUAUCUGAUUAUUCUUAUACAGGCUGGGGUUCCUGCUCCUUUAGUAGGCCAUUUAUUGGUUAACUGAGUUGUAAGUAGAGCUGUUCCUUGGUAUAUACCUAUAAGGAACUGGUUCUAGGAGCUCCUGCCAUCCAAAAAUCUGUUGGGGCUAAGUCCUUAGAAACAUGUCACUGUUCACUCACAGCCACCAAAUCCUCCAAUGUGCUGUAAGAUUAUUCUUAUGAUUAUGUCAUGCUAUAUAUUAUUAUUGCUGUUGUUGUUAUUGUUUUUUUUAGCUGAAUAAAAAAAGUUUUAUUCAUUUCCUUUUCACAUCUCAUUUACAUUCUGUUUGGAUACAUCAUUACAUCCACUUUGUUACUUUUUAUGGUUAUACAGUACUACACAAUAAAACAAAAUUGGAGUCAUAGGUGGUACAGAGAAUCCAGUACCUCCUGAUGAACUGGAAACAGACAGAGAGCUUAUAGACUGGGUUACAACUACAAGGAGAGGAUGAAAAUACAAUAGAAAAGGUAAAUUUCUAAAUCAAAGUAUUCCUAUGAUACU